rnacentral:rRNA from 1 species
CCUACGGGAGGCAGCAGUGGGGAAUCUUGCGCAAUGGGCGAAAGCCUGACGCAGCCAUGCCGCGUGAAUGAUGAAGGUCUUAGGAUUGUAAAAUUCUUUCAGUAGGGACGAUAAUGACGGUACCUACAGAAGAAGCCCCGGCUAACUUCGUGCCAGCAGCCGCGGUAAUACGAAGGGGGCUAGCGUUGCUCGGAAUUACUGGGCGUAAAGGGAGCGUAGGCGGACAUUUAAGUCAGGGGUGAAAUCCCAGAGCUCAACUCUGGAACUGCCUUUGAUACUGGGUGUCUUGAGUGUGAGAGAGGUAUGUGGAACUCCGAGUGUAGAGGUGAAAUUCGUAGAUAUUCGGAAGAACACCAGUGGCGAAGGCGACAUACUGGCUCAUUACUGACGCUGAGGCUCGAAAGCGUGGGGAGCAAACAGGAUUAGAUACCCUGGUAGUCCACGCCGUAAACGAUGAUUGCUAGUUGUCGGGAUGUUUACAUCUCGGUGACGCAGCUACGCAUAGACAUCCGCCGUGGGAGGUACGGUCGCGAAGUAGUAAACGUUACGAAGUAAGUUAGAGGNGNGAGAGNGCGACGCGACGACGAGGAGAGG